GGGGAGAACUCGGGAGGAGGUAGGCGGGCUGGACCUCUCGGGGUUACAGCCUUGCUGAAUUAUUCACCCUUGUCUUUUGCGUACUUCUUGUUUCCUUGGUGGGUUCGCCCACCACUAGGACAAACAUAAACCUUUUGUAAUUGCAAUCAGCGUCAGUAACAAAUUAAUAAUUACAACUUUCAACAACGGAUCUCUUGGUUCUGGCAUCGAUGAAGAACGCAGCGAAAUGCGAUAAGUAGUGUGAAUUGCAGAAUUCAGUGAAUCAUCGAAUCUUUGAACGCACAUUGCGCCCUUUGGUAUUCCAAAGGGCAUGCCUGUUCGAGCGUCAUUUGUACCCUCAAGCUUUGCUUGGUGUUGGGCGUCUUGUCUCUAGCUUUGCUGGAGACUCGCCUUAAAGUAAUUGGCAGCCGGCCUACUGGUUUCGGAGCGCAGCACAAGUCGCACUCUCUAUCAGCAAAGGUCUAGCAUCCAUUAAGCCUUUUUUUCAACUUUUGACCUCGGAUCAGGUAGGGAUACCCGCUGAACUUAAG
rnacentral:rRNA from 1 species